rnacentral:rRNA from 1 species
UAAUACGAAUUGUGCAAACGUUAUUCGGAAUCACUGGGCUUAAAGGGUGCGUAGGCGGCCAUGAAGGUCUGAUGUGAAAUCCCACGGCUCAACCGUGGAAUUGCGUUGGAAACCACAUGGCUUGAGGAAGACAGAGGUGAGCGGAACUAAUGGUGGAGCGGUGAAAUGUGUUGAUAUCAUUAGGAACACCGGUGGCGAAAGCGGCUCGCUGGGUCUUUUCUGACGCUGAGGCACGAAAGCUAGGGUAGCAAACGGG